GAUGAAGAACGUAGCGAAAUGCGAUAAGUAAUGUGAAUUGCAGAAUUCAGUGAAUCAUCGAAUCUUUGAACGCACAUUGCGCCCCUUGGUAUUCCGAGGGGCAUGCCUGUUCGAGCGUCAUUAUAACCCCUCAAGCUCAGCUUGGUGUUGGGGCCUGCUGCACUGGCAGCCCUUAAAAUCAGUGGCGGCGCCAUCUGGCUCUAAGCGUAGUAAUUCUUCUCGCUAUGGAGUCCUGGUGGAUGCUUGCCAUCAACCCCCAAUUUUUCUAUGGUUGACCUCGGAUCAGGUAGGGAUACCCGCUGAACUUACGCAUAUCAAUAAGCGGAGGA
rnacentral:misc_RNA from 1 species